rnacentral:rRNA from 1 species
AGAGUUUGAUCCUGGCUCAGAACGAACGCUGGCGGCAGGCUUAAUACAUGCAAGUCGAACGGUUAAAGCUCCUUCGGGAGUGUAUAAAGUGGCGAACGGGUGAGUAACAGGUGGAUAACCUGCCUCUUGGUAGAGGAUAACGGCUGGAAACGGCCGCUAAUACUGUAUGUGUGAUUUUCUGGCCCCCGGGCCAGAUCAGGAAAGGCGCUUCGGCGUCGCCAAGAGAUGGAUCCGCCCCCCAUUAGCUAGUUGGUAAGGUAACGGCUUACCAAGGCUUCGAUGGGUAGCCGAGCUGAGAGGUUGAUCGGCCACACUGGGACUGAGAUACGGCCCAGACACCUACGGGUGGCAGCAGUAGGGAAUAUUGCGCAAUGGGCGAAAGCCUGACGCAGCCAUGCCGCGUGAGUGAUGAAGGCCUUCGGGUCGUAAAGCUCUUUUCUGAGGGAAGAACAUCCGGUGCAGGAAAUGGCACCGGGACGGUACCUCAGGAAUAAGGAGCGGCUAACUCCGUGCCAGCAGCCGCGGUAAUACGGAGGCUCCAAGCGUUGUUCGGAAUUACUGGGCGUAAAGGGAGCGCAGGCGGAAUGAUUAGUCUGAAGUGGAAGUCCGGGGCUCAACCUCGGAAGUGCUUCGGAUACUGUCAUUCUUGAGAUCGUGAGAGGAAAGCGGAAUUCAGGGUGUAGCGGUGAAAUGCUUAGAUAUCCUGAGGAACACCAAUGGCGAAAGCAGCUUUCUGGCACUGAUCUGACGCUGAGGCUCGAAAGCGUGGGUAGCGAACGGGAUUAGAUACCCCGGUAGUCCACGCCGUAAACGUUGUGCACUAGGUGUGGGAGGUAUCGACCCCUUCCGUGCCGCAGCUAACGCAUUAAGUGCACCGCCUGGGGAGUACGAUCGCAAGAUUGAAACUCAAAGGAAUUGACGGGGGCCCGCACAAGCGGUGGAGCAUGUGGUUUAAUUCGAGGCAACGCGAAGAACCUUACCCAGGCUUGACAUCCCGUGACAUCCAUGGAAACAUGGCUUUCUCUUCGGAGACACGGUGACAGGUGUUGCAUGGCUGUCGUCAGCUCGUGUCGUGAGAUGUUGGGUUAAGUCCCGCAACGAGCGCAACCCUUGUCCUUAGUUACCAGCGGUUCGGCCGGGCACUCUAAGGAGACUGCCGGUGAUAAGCCGGAGGAAGGUGGGGACGACGUCAAGUCAUCAUGGCCCUUACGCCUGGGGCCACACACGUGCUACAAUGGCCGGUACAAUGAGCUGCAAAGCCGCGAGGUGGAGCGAAUCUCAAAAAGCCGGUCUCAGUUCGGAUAGGAGUCUGCAAUUCGACUCCUUGAAGUCGGAAUCGCUAGUAAUCGCGUAUCAGCUACGACGCGGUGAAUACGUUCCCGGGCCUUGUACACACCGCCCGUCACAUGACCCGAGUCGGGUGCACCCGAAGUCGCUGGUCCAACCCUCUGGGAGGAAGGCGCCGAAGGUGUAUUUGGUAAGGGGGAUGAAGUCGUAACAAGGUAGC